GGCGGGUCCCUUCGCAUUGGGCGAUGGUGAAUCGGGUCAGGUGCGGAAGCAAGCAGCCACAGCUAUUUUACUCAAGUGCCGAAGUCAGGCUCGCCUCU
rnacentral:SRP_RNA from 1 species